rnacentral:rRNA from 1 species
GACGUAACCGACAGAAUAAGCACGGGCUAACUCUGUGCCAGCAGCCGCGGUAAUACAGAGGGUGCAAGCGUUAAUCGGAAUUACUGGGCGUAAAGCGCGCGUAGGUGGUUUGUUAAGUGGGAUGUGAAAUCCCCGGGCUCAACCUGGGAACUGCAUUCAAAACUGACAAGCUAGAGUAUGGUAGAGGGUGGUGGAAUUUCCUGUGUAGCGGUGAAAUGCGUAGAUAUAGGAAGGAACACCAGUGGCGAAGGCGACCACCUGGACUGUACUGACACUGAGGUGCGAAAGCGUGGGGAGCAACAGGAUUAGAUACCCUGGUAGUCCACGCCGUAAACGAUGUCAACUAGCCGUUGGGAGCCUUGAGCUUUUAGUGGCGCAGCUAACGCAUUAAGUUGACCGCCUGGGGAGUACGGCCGCAAGGUUAAAACUCAAAUGAAUUGACGGGGGCCCGCACAAGCGGUGGAGCAUGUGGUUUAAUUCGAAGCAACGCGAAGAACCUUACCAGGCCUUGACAUCCAAUGAACUUU